GACGUAGGGCGCAAGCGUUGUCCGGAUUUAUUGGGCGUAAAGAGCGUGUAGGCGGCUUGGAAGGUCAGCUGUGAAAACUCGAGGCUCAACCUCGAGACGUCGGUUGAAACCACCUGGCUAGAGUCCGGAAGAGGAGAGUGGAAUUCCCGGUGUAGCGGUGAAAUGCGCAGAUAUCAGGAGGAACACCAAUAGCGAAGGCAGCUCGCUGGGACGGUACUGACGCUAAGGCGCGAAAGCGUGGGGAGCGAACAGG
rnacentral:rRNA from 1 species